rnacentral:lncRNA from 1 species
AAGAUGGGAUGCUCCCAUUUUCUUCCUUUGGAAACUGUAAUGGGUAAACAGGUAUCAGAUUGUAGUAACAAGAGGAGCAUAUUAAGGAUCAAAGCAAAGCCUGAGGAUGAUAGGUGCAUAAAAAUACGUUUGUUAUCCAUUGCAGGACUUUUACAGGACAGAUGGCUUCUCAAAUUCUGCAUCCAGGCAGAUAAGGAAAAGAUUUCAGCACAGAAGAGGAUUAACUGCAGCACAGGAACAGAAAUGAACAGUCAGUGUUUAAAGGAAAUACAAGAACUUCUAUGCCUUACUGUCAGAGAAAAAUGUCAGGAGGUCUGGAAGACUUCUGGACCAUUACUGCUUCUGACUUCCUCUCUCUGUGAGCAAAGGGUUAUCACAGGUCAACUGCAGAGUGUAAAGUGUGGCAGCAAAUUGUGGGGUAAGCUCAGAUUUAAUAUUGAUGUGUCUUUAUACCUCAGUGGAUGCAAAUCAUCCGUGCCUCCUAAGAGAAUAUGGUACACACGUAUGUGAAUCUGCACAAACUUGUUGGUUUCUGCUAUUUCACUGGGCCUGUGGAUUUUUUUUGUCAGCAAACAUGAAAAUUGUACUACUGGUCUGCUGCAUGGUUUUUGAAUUCUUUUCUUUCUAUAGUCAUGUUGCAGAAAGAAAGAAAAUCAAAUGCAAAAUUUAAAAAACAAAGAGCAUUAAGAAAUAGGUUUACAGAUAUUUAAUUCCAAG